AAAACCACAGCAGCGCCACCCAACACCAAACACUGUCCAUCUACAACUUCAGCUCUUUCCACGGCAUGUGAGAGGCCGACGGCGUGAUGUAACCAGCUUCUCAUCGAAAGACAAGAAGACCAUCCACCUGAAGCUAAACACACUUGUCCUGCACAUCAUCCUGACCUGAACCUGAUUAAAUCUCCAGCCGUCAGUAUGGAUCUGAUCAAUAACCGAGGACUAAAUCUGCUGCUCAACUUCCUGCUCAUUUUUGUGGCUCUACUGCUCAUGCUUAUUCUGGUCAAGCUCAUGUGACCAAAAAAAAAUGGUUACAAGUAACAAUGUACAAUAUAUCGGUGGCCAUAAUGAUAUCAGCCAAUAAUGCUAUUUUUUUAUCGUUAUCGUUCUGAUAACAUUAUUAGGCUGAUCUUAAGCCGAGAAAUGAUGUAUUAUUUCUGCUGGUUGAACCACUUCACGAGAUUGCUGCUUGACACUUUUUUAUUCAUUUGAUCACAUUUAAAUUGACACUUUUAUAUUUAUUUUUUAUUUUACUUGGUUUUGGUGACCAUAAGGAUAUCGGCCAAUAAUGAUAUUUUUUAUGUUAUCGUUCUGAUAACAUUAUUAGGCUGAUCUUUAAGCCGAUAAAUGAUGUAUUAUUUCUGCUGGUGGAACCACUUCACGUGCUUGCUGCUUGA
rnacentral:lncRNA from 1 species